CUCUUCUUCAAAGGCUUCUA
rnacentral:miRNA from 1 species